rnacentral:rRNA from 1 species
GACGUAGGGGGCCAGCGUUGUUCGGAAUUACUGGGUGUAAAGGGUUCGUAGGCGGUGUGGCAAGUCGGGAGUGAAAUCUCUGGGCUCAACCCAGAGACUGCUUCCGAAACUGCUGUGCUUGAGUGUGAGAGAGGCUCGUGGAAUUGCAGGUGUAGCGGUGAAAUGCGUAGAUAUCUGCAGGAACACCCGUGGCGAAAGCGGCGCGCUGGACCACUACUGACGCUGAGGAACGAAAGCUAGGGGAGCAAACAGG